AGCGAACGCUGGCGGCAGGCCUAACACAUGCAAGUCGAACGAACCUUUCGGGGUUAGUGGCGGACGGGUGAGUAACACGUGGGAACGUGCCUUUAGGUUCGGAAUAACUCAGGGAAACUUGUGCUAAUACCGAAUGUGCCCUUCGGGGGAAAGAUUAAUCGCCUUUAGAGCGGCCCGCGUCGGAUUAGCUAUUUGGUUGAGGUAAUGGCUCACCAAGGCGACGAUCAGUAGCUGGUCUGAGAGGAUGAUCAGCCACAUUGGGACUGAGACACGGCCCAAACUCCUACGGGAGGCAGCAGUGGGGAAUCUUGCGCAAUGGGCGAAAGCCUGACGCAGCCAUGCCGCGUGAAUGAUGAAGGUCUUAGGAUUGUAAAAUUCUUUCACCGGGGACGAUAAUGACGGUACCCGGAGAAGAAGCCCCGGCUAACUUCGUG
rnacentral:rRNA from 1 species